rnacentral:rRNA from 1 species
GACGAACGCUGGCGGCGUGCCGAAUACAUGCAAGUAGGACGCAGUUGCGAACGGGUGAGUAACGCGUAGGUAACUACCUAUUAGAGGGGGAUAACUCUUGGAAACGAUAGCUAAUACCGCAUACUAGUAGAUGGACCUGCGGUGUAUUAGCUAGUAGGUAGGGUAAUGGCCUACCUAGGCAACGAUACAUAUCCGACCUGAGAGGUGUAUCGGCCAAACUUGGACUGAGACACUGCCCAGACUCCUACGGGAGGCAGCAGUAGGAAAUCUUCGGCAAUGGGGUGACCCCUGACCGAGCAACGCCGCGUGAGUGAAGAAGGUUUUCGGAUCGUAAAGCUCUGUUGUUAAGGAAGCGGUACUUAACCAGAAAGGGACGGCUAACUACGUGCCAGCAGCCGCGGUAAUAC